UACAAUGCUUUUCUAAUUUUCUCAGUUGAUUGCUCAUCGGUGGAAUCUAUAAAUGCUGUUGGCAGACAAUGUGCCUUCUCUAAUGAAAUGUUGUAUAAAUUGCUGAUCCAUUAGUCGCUGUAUUAUCUUCUCAUUACCAAUCUUAUGCUGCUACAAUCAACAGUGGAACUCACCAGAAAGCUGACAAUUUCAUUUUUGUCAACAAUGUAAUAUAUAUGGAGCCCUAAAUUUGAUUGGACCUGCACUGUUCUAGCUUUUUCACCACUUCUGCAAGGAGUCCUCUAGAUUACUUCCACCAAUUAUCACCCAUCUCUACCCAUACAGAUUCUGCAUAGAGUCAUAGAGAUGUACAGCACAGGAACAGACACUUCAGUCCAAC